rnacentral:rRNA from 1 species
GAUGAACGCUGGCGGCGUGCCUAAUACAUGCAAGUCGAGCGAACAGACGAGGAGCUUGCUCCUCUGACGUUAGCGGCGGACGGGUGAGUAACACGUGGAUAACCUACCUAUAAGACUGGGAUAACUUCGGGAAACCGGAGCUAAUACCGGAUAAUAUAUUGAACCGCAUGGUUCAAUAGUGAAAGACGGUUUUGCUGUCACUUAUAGAUGGACCCGCGCCGCAUUAGCUAGUUGGUAAGGUAACGGCUUACCAAGGCAACGAUGCGUAGCCGACCUGAGAGGGUGAUCGGCCACACUGGAACUGAGACACGGUCCAGACUCCUACGGGAGGCAGCAGUAGGGAAUCUUCCGCAAUGGGCGAGAGCCUGACGGAGCAACGCCGCGUGAGUGAUGAAGGUCUUCGGAUCGUAAAACUCUGUUAUUAGGGAAGAACAAAUGUGUAAGUAACUAUGCACGUCUUGACGGUACCUAAUCAGAAAGCCACGGCUAACUACGUG